rnacentral:lncRNA from 1 species
GUGGUGGUUGCGGUCAAUUGAAAUCUUAGUUUCUUCAUCUUCUUUGAGAUUAUGUUUUGUCUGCAUCUGAUAAUUAGGAUGGCCUCCUUUCUUUCAGGUUUGUACUGUUAAUUAAGAUGAACUUGGGUGUCGAGGAUGAUUUGGAAGAUUAUAUAUCCUGACCAGAUAAAAUCAGUGCUGCCGAUCUGAGUUGAUUUUCUUUUGAUAAAGGGAGCUUUAAUAUGUUAGUUGAUUUGGAAGAUUAUUUCUCUAGACCAGAUAAAAUCAAUGCUGCUGAUUUGAGUUGAUUCGGAAGAUUAUGUCUUCAGACCAGAUAAAAUCAGUGUUGCUGAUGUGAGUGCCUUUCCAUUAUGCUGAACAUUCUUUAUCAUUUGUUCUACUUAAGCAGAAGAAAUUUCAUUGCGUCAACUUAAUUAGAAAAUGAUAAUGAUUCUUUAAAUCCUUUACUCUUAAAAGUUUAUCAUAGUAAAUGUACCUUCAGCUCACCAUACAUUUGUUUCAUAUAUAUUGACAACUAUAAUAGCAGUAGCAAUGCGUGAUUAUGACAUAUGAAAAAGAUUGUUUUACUGUCAAUUUUCAGUAUAUUGUUAGUGACUAAUUAUUUCCUAAUUUUGUUUAGUUUUGUUGGAGAGAAUAUGUAAGGCUAAUGUUUGAGCAGGAGAGUGACAAGAUGCAAGAGUGAUACAUCCAAGCACUUGAUUUGAGUCAAACUUGGUUUGCUGUACAGAAUUCCACCGUAUUUGUCCACACAAAUAGUUCUUCAUAUUUAGUCAAAAUUGUUUUUCUCCAUAGUUCAGUGUCUACAUCUUUAUUCUCCGAAUAUAGUCAUACUCUCCAUUUUAUAAAGUGCAAAUGUACUUCGGCCAAUUGAUUUUAGUAGUCCUCCUGUUUGUACAGUAUGGAUGAAAUUUGACCUACCAGUAUACCUAUAAAGAUAUUAAGAUUGGAUACUUAAAAAUCCUAUACGAACUUUUGUCUUCAACAUGAUUUCACAAUAUAUAGUUUUAUGACAUUUCGGUAAAUAUAUUCAAGUAAAAUAUUGGUGGUUAAAGCCGGAUUAUGGAGAUCUUACCAAAACAAACAACUACUAGGAACUAGAUCAAUGUGUAUUUGCAAGUCAAGCUCAGCUUAUAGUGAUUGUGAAGUGAGAUUGAAUGCAUUUUGGCGAUGAAAUCACGUAGGAUCAAAGCGGAGGUGCCUACUUUCUACCAAGAAAUUGCAUCUUCAUCAAAUGUUUAUGUCUUCCUUUCUUCCUUGACAAUAUGAAUCUGAAUACUACUUUCUUUUCCUGGAUGUAGUUUCCACUAUAGUAUAUAGCUACCUUCCAUGUCUUUUGUGAACCCAG